AGUGCAUGGGGUGAAGCAAUCAAUGCCCUUCCCAGCAAACACGUUAAACAGAAUAAUGAGAAAUGAAGAACAAUAAAAGAGAAAACAAAAUAUGGAAACUAGGUGUUCCAACAUCCGGGAAGGAGUGGGGGAGCAACAAAGCAGUACCAAAACAGUGGUGUUUUCCAUUUUCCAAGGAUGAUCGAAGUCCAA